rnacentral:rRNA from 1 species
GACGAACGCUGGCGGCGUGCCUAAUACAUGCAAGUCGAGCGAGCAAUUUUAGCAGAAUACCUUCGGGUAGGAAGCUAAGAGCGCGAGCGGCGGAUGGGUGAGUAACACGUGGGCAACCUACCCUUUAGCUGGGGAUACCACUUGGAAACAGGUGCUAAUACCGAAUAAGAAGCAAGAGCGCAUGCUCAAGCUAUGAAAGGCGGCUUUAAGCUGUCACUAAAGGAUGGGCCCGCGGUGCAUUAGCUAGUUGGUAAGGUAACGGCUUACCAAGGCGAUGAUGCAUAGCCGAGUGGAGAGACUGAACGGCCACAUAGGGACUGAGACACGGCCCAAACUCCUACGGGAGGCAGCAGUAGGGAAUCUUCCACAAUGGACGCAAGUCUGAUGGAGCAACGCCGCGUGAGUGAAGAAGGUUUUCGGAUCGUAAAGCUCUGUUGUUGGUGAAGAAGGAUAAGGAUAGUAACUGAUUCAUAUUUGACGGUAAUCAACCAGAAAGUCACGGCUAACUACGUGCCAGCAGCCGCCGUAA